GACGAACGCUGGCGGCGUGCUUAACACAUGCAAGUCGAGCGGGGAUAAACCCUUCGGGGUUUAUUCUAGCGGCGGACGGGUGAGUAACGCGUGAACAAUCUGUCCUACACAGGGGGAUAACAGAUGGAAACAUCUGCUAAUACCGCAUAAGACCACGACGCCACAUGGUGAUGGGGUAAAAAGAAUUAUCGGUGUAGGGUGAGUUCGCGUCCGAUUAGCUAGUUGGUGAGGUAACGGCCCACCAAGGCGACGAUCGGUAGCCGACCUGAGAGGGUGAUCGGCCACAUUGGAACUGAGACACGGUCCAA
rnacentral:rRNA from 1 species